CAGAAACUGGAGGGUGAGUACUUGUACUCGUAUUUUGUUGGUCGGAAUUCUUGUAUUCUCUCAAUCUUUCUGACUGUGUUGUCUUCAUUCUUUGUAGAGCUGAAGGGUCAUGAAGCCAGACUUAGCAGUCAAGUUUUGGAUUGGAGGAAUGCACAUAGUCGUGCCAGCAAUGAAGUUGAACAGCUCACGGCUUAGCUGGCAGAGUCGAGGGAAAACUACGAAAGAGAGAGGGGUUGGCAACAAAAUUU
rnacentral:lncRNA from 1 species